rnacentral:rRNA from 1 species
UAGGGAAUCUUCCGCAAUGGACGCAAGUCUGACGGAGCAACGCCGCGUGAGUGAAGAAGGAUUUCGGUUCGUAAAACUCUGUUGUUAGAGAAGAACAGCGCAUAGAGUAACUGUUAUGCGUGUGACGGUAUCUAACCAGAAAGCCACGGCUAACUACGUGCCAGCAGCCGCGGUAAUACGUAGGUCCCGAGCGUUGUCCGGAUUUAUUGGGCGUAAAGCGAGCGCAGGCGGUUAGAUAAGUCUGAAGUUAAAGGCAGUGGCUCAACCAUUGUAGGCUUUGGAAACUGUUUAACUUGAGUGCAGAAGGGGAGAGUGGAAUUCCAUGUGUAGCGGUGAAAUGCGUAGAUAUGUGGAGGAACACCGGUGGCGAAAGCGGCUCUCUGGUCUGUAACUGACGCUGAGGCUCGAAAGCGUGGGGAGCGAACAGG